GUGAUAAUGGAGCCACAUGCCCAGGCUCAACCCAGGCCCAAGGAACUUGACCUGAAGCAGGAGGGUUGCCAACAACAGUCCUGGUGAGCCGCUGAGAAGACGGGAGCUGAUUUUAUAGACUCUGGGAUGGACAUGCGAGGCUUUGCUUAACCAUCUCUGCCAUUCUGGAAACGUCUAUGAGAGUCGUCCAACAGUGUCCAUGUCUCACGUGUUUUGCUGAGUCAGCAACUGGGCAGAAUGAUGAUCUUGUCUUUCAUCAGCAAGAAGUCAGCUGAGCUUUGUCUGGAGGAGAUUCUGAGGGCUGCUACCGUUUGAUUCCUUGGCUUUGGAGGGGAGACUGACCAGGAAGUUUAUAUGUAAACACAAGCGGUAAUGGACCCCUGACCUGCUCAGGGCUUUCAACCCAGUCAAUCCACAGAGGGAUUAACCCCAAAUACCGACUGGAUCUCAGAGGGUUCCAGACCUGCCUGUUCUCAUACUGCACGGACAGCCUUUUUCCAAGUCAAGGAACCUGCAAACUCGGAGAUUUUCUUCCGAAGACCUUCUCCUGGCAGCUGGACCCGCAUCAAUCGCUCACAAGAGACAAUGUAUCUGUGUUUUAGAGUCUCUCUGUUGCAAAUGGGUCCAGAAGUUUCCCAUGUUGUUAAGAGGGGGUGGGGACAGAGAAGGGGCCCAGAGAGGCUACGCACUCAACAGCCCCUAACAGCUGUGGAAAGUUUGAUGCAGCAGGGGCACCCAGACAGAAAAUUAAAAAACUAAUAAAGUCCUCAGUGUGGGGCACUGGCAUCAGGACAGCUUUCCUUCUCCAGACACCUAAUAAAGAGACAUUCCGGGACACUAACUCAUAAGGGGGAUCCGCAGGGGUCACGGACAACAGUGGAAAGCGAGCCAUGGAAACAGCAAUCACUUCACUCGCUGCAAGGAGGGUUCUCGGCUUCUCUUCUUCCCCUGCCCUUGUCUUUUCAGUGGAGAAAAAUGGCAAGGUGCACGGGACUGACAAAACACGGGGGAGCCAUGCAGGGAGCCUUCCUUGGCAGGGCGAGCACACAGAGCACACCGCUGCCUCUGGUUGACACUGCAGGGCAGGAGGUGAUGGUCACUAGUGCUAUUGAGACUGGUCGGUCAGAUGGCUCCUCAGAGAGCAGGGAUUUUCAUUGGAUUUGAUGGAGCAGCCUUCAUACAGAGUUUUCGCUGAGUUUUCCUCUGGAGUGACUUGGUCAUCCUGACAUUGAGUCUCGAGAACAUUUAUGCUGUUUGAUUUGGUUUUCAAA
rnacentral:lncRNA from 1 species